GUCUGAGCAUGGCAUAGUGGUUGAGCAUUGGAUUACAACUCUGGAGACCAAGGUUUGAAUCCUUGCUCAGCUG